UUGACAAAUGAUGAGAUUGUGUUAUAAACCAAAGAUUAUAGUUAUUCCAAUUACGUGCAUUUGAGAUCCACU
rnacentral:snoRNA from 10 species